rnacentral:tRNA from 1 species
AAUGAGAUGGCUGAUUUAGGCGGUAAAUUGUAAGUUUAUUUAAGGUUUAUUAAUAAACCUCUUAUUA